AGAGAGAGACAUGCGCGCAUAUCAAUAAGCGGAGGAAAAGAAACUAACAAGGAUUCCCCUAGUAACGGCGAGUGAAGCGGGAAGAGCUCAAAUUUGAAAUCUUAAAGGGUUUCCCUUUACGAAUUGUAGUUUAAAGAAGUGUUUUCUGUUGAGGUUUUGGUAAAAGUUCUUUGGAAUAGGACAUCAUAGAGGGUGAGAAUCCCGUAUUUGACCUUUACUUUCAACUUUGUGAUACACUUUCAAAGAGUCGGAUUGUUUGGGAAUGCAGUCCAAAAUGGGUGGUAAAUUUCAUCUAAAGCUAAAUAUUGGCGAGAGACCGAUAGCGAACAAGUACCGUGAGGGAAAGAUGAAAAGAACUUUGAAAAGAGAGUUAAACAGUACGUGAAAUUGUCAAAAGGGAAGCGUUUGACACCAGUGUUGUUUUUCUGAAAAUCAAUUAAAGAACUGUUUAUGCUAAGUUGUUUAGACUUUAUCAGCUAACUGUAUAGUUUUGAGCUUUUCUUUAAUGCACUUUUCAGUUAACAAGUCAACAUCAAUUUCUUUUGCUGUAAAAAAGCUUGAGGAAGGUGGCUUGAGAUUCGUCUUAAGUGUUUAUAGCCUCUUGCCUAUGCAGUCGGAGAGAUUGAGGUCUGCAGCGUAGAUCCUUCGGGGCUAGAUACAUUUGUGCUAAGUUAUAGCAUUUCAUAGACAACUUGUUGACUAUGAUUAGUCAUUGUAGCUUACUCGCUUAUGUUAUUUUACCUACGCUUAGGAUGUUGAGCGCAUGUCUCUCUCU
rnacentral:rRNA from 1 species